UUCGAUCUCAAAUCAGGUAGGACUACCCGCUGAACUUAAGCAUAUCAAUAAGCGGAGGAAAAGAAACUAACAAGGAUUCCCCUAGUAACUGCGAGUGAAGCGGGAAGAGCUCAAAUUUAAAAUCUGGCGUGCCUCUGGUCGUCCGAGUUGUAGUCUGGAGAAGUGUUUUCCGUGUUGGACCGUGUACAAGUCCCUUGGAACAGGGCGUCGUAGAGGGUGAGAAUCCCGUCUUUGACACGGACUGCCAAUGCUUUGUGAUGCACUUUCAAAGAGUCGAGUUGUUUGGGAAUGCAGCUCAAAAUGGGUGGUAAAUUCCAUCUAAAGCUAAAUAUAGGCGAGAGACCGAUAGCGAACAAGUACCGUGAGGGAAAGAUGAAAAG
rnacentral:rRNA from 1 species